AAAGGAUGUGGAGUUGCACAGACAACCAGGAUGUUGGCUUAGAAGCAGCCACCAUUGAAAGAGUGCGUAAUAGCUCACUGGUCGAGUGACUCUGCGCCGAAAAUGUAACGGGGCUAAACACACCACCGAAGCUAUGGCUUGGAUCGACUUCACUGCUUCUUUGAGGCGGUGUUUACCACAAGGACAUUUUUGUCAGACAAGAGAAACAAUCUUGAAUGACCAAAUGCUUCCCAGGGGAUAAACACAGGGCUUCGAAGCUGGAGUGAAGUCGAUCCAGGGGUAGGGGAGCGUUGUAUAAGGGUUGAAGGUGUACCGUAAGGAGCGCUGGACAUUAUACAAGUGAGAAUGCCGGUAUGAGUAACGAAAAGAUCAGUGAGAAUCUGAUCCGCCGAAAGCCUAAGGGUUCCUGAGGAAG
rnacentral:rRNA from 1 species